rnacentral:pre_miRNA from 1 species
GUAGUAUUCCCACCGUCCCAAAAUUCUUGUCUUACAUUUGUUUAGAUACGGAUGUAUCUAACACUAAAAUGUAACUAGAUACAUCCGUAUUUAGACAAAUUUAAGACAAGAAUUUUGGGACGGAGGGAGUACAAA